rnacentral:rRNA from 1 species
GCAUAUCAAUAAGCGGAGGAAAAGAAAAUAACAAUGAUUCCCUUAGUAACGGCGAGUGAAGGGGGAGAAGCUCAAAUUUUAAAUCUGCUAGGUUUUACCUGUCAGAAUUGUAAUUUGAAGAAGCGUUUUCCGCGUCUCGGUUGGCCCAAAUCCUUUGGGAUAAGGUAUCAUGGAGGGUGAGAAUCCCGUUCGGUUGACCUUAUGACGCUCUACGAUACGCUCUCUAAGAGUCGAGUUGUUUGGGAUUGCAGCUCAAAAUGGGAGGUGAAUUUCUCCUAAGGCUAAAUAUCGGCGAGAGACCGAUAGCGAACAAGUACCGUGAGGGAAAGAUGAAAAGAACUUUGAAAAGAGAGUAAAAUAGUACGUGAAAUUGUUGAAAGGGAAACGAUUGAAGUCAGUCGUACCGACGAGAAAUCAACUUAUCGUGUGCGAACU